rnacentral:rRNA from 1 species
GUUAUAUGGUUAAGUGAAUAAGUGCACACGGUGGAUGCCUAGGCGAUAAGAGGCGAUGAAGGACGUGGUAGUCUGCGAUAAGCCCUGGCGAGCUGACAAACUAGCUUUGACCCAGGGAUUUCCGAAUGGGGAAACCCACCUGCUUGCAGGUACCCUUAACUGAAUACAUAGGUUAGGGGAGCGAACCCGGGGAACUGAAACAUCUAAGUACCCGGAGGAAAAGAAAUCAACCGAGAUUCCGUCAGUAGCGGCGAGCGAACGCGGAACAGCCCUUAAGCUUAUAAAGACUUAAUAAAAUGCUCUGGAAAGUGCAGCCAUAGAAGGUGAUAGCCCUGUAUAUGAAGGGUCUUUUUAAGUGAAAUCGAGUAGGGCGGGACACGUGAUAUCCUGUCUGAAUUUGGGGGGACCACCCUCCAAGGCUAAAUACUCCUUAUCGACCGAUAGUGAACUAGUACCGUGAGGGAAAGGCGAAAAGAACCCCUGUGAGGGGAGUGAAAUAGAACCUGAAACCGUGUGCAUACAAGCAGUCGGAGCAGACUUGUUCUGUGACGGCGUACCUUUUGUAUAAUGGGUCAGCGACUUACAUUUUGUGGCAAGCUUAACCGUAUAGGGGAGGCGUAGGGAAACCGAGUCUUAAUAGGGCGUCAAGUCGCAAGGUGUAGACCCGAAACCGGGCGAUCUAUCCAUGGCCAGGUUGAAGGUUGGGUAAUACCAACUGGAGGACCGAACCGACUUAUGUUGAAAAAUGAGCGGAUGAGCUGUGGAUCGGAGUGAAAGGCUAAUCAAGCCCGGAGAUAGCUGGUUCUCCUCGAAAUCUAUUUAGGUAGAGCCUCAUGUAUCACUUCUGGGGGUAGAGCACUGUUAUGGCUAGGGGGUCAUCCCGACUUACCAAACCAUUGCAAACUCCGAAUACCAGAAAGUGCGAGCAUGGGAGACAGACAGUGGGUGCUAACGUCCAUUGUCAAGAGGGAAACAACCCAGACCAUCAGCUAAGGUCCCAAAAUUAUGGCUCAGUGGGAAACGAUGUGGGAAGGCUUAGACAGCUAGGAGGUUGGCUUAGAAGCAGCCAUCCUUUAAAGAAAGCGUAAUAGCUCACUAGUCGAGUCGGCCUGCGCGGAAGAUUUACCGGGGCUUAAGCCAUAUACCGAAGCUAUGGGAUUACACUUAUGUGUGAUCGGUAGAGGAGCGUUCUGUACGCCUGCGAAGGUGACCUGUAAGGGUUGCUGGAGGUAUCAGAAGUGCGAAUGCUGACGUGAGUAACGAUAAUGCGAGUGAAAAACUCGCACGCCGAAAACCCAAGGUUUCCUGCUCAACGCUAAUCGGAGCAGGGUUAGUCGGACCCUAAGGCGAGGUCGAAAGACGUAGUCGAUGGGAAACAGAUUAAUAUUUCUGUACCGCUGAUAACUGCGAUGGGGGGACGGAGCAAGCUAGACGUACCGGGCGAUGGUUGUCCCGGGGAAAGUGUGUAGGUUUAGAGUUUAGGAAAAUCCGGACUCUUUUAAGACUGAGACACGAGACCAACUCUCUUUUGAGUGAAGUCGUCGAUGCUAUACUUCCAGGAAAAUCCUCUAAGCUUCAGGUUAUCAGGACCGUACCCCAAACCAACACAGGUGGGUGGGAUGAGAAUUCUAAGGCGCUUGAGAGAACUCGGGUGAAGGAACUAGGCAAAAUGGAUCCGUAACUUCGGGAGAAGGAUCACCCUUAACUGUUAGAAGACUUGCUCUUCAAAGCGGAUGAGGGUUGCAAUAAAUUGGUGGCUGCGACUGUUUACUAAAAACAUAGCACUCUGCAAACUCGCAAGAGGACGUAUAGGGUGUGACGCCUGCCCGGUGCCGGAAGGUUAAUUGAUGGGGUUAUCUUCGGAGAAGCUCUUGAUCGAAGCCCCGGUAAACGGCGGCCGUAACUAUAACGGUCCUAAGGUAGCGAAAUUCCUUGUCGGGUAAGUUCCGACCUGCACGAAUGGCGUAACGAUGGCCACACUGUCUCCACCCGAGACUCAGUGAAAUCGAAAUCGCAGUUAAGAUGCUGUGUACCCGCGGCUAGACGGAAAGACCCCGUGAACCUUUACUAUAGCUUUGCACUGAACGUUGAGCCUACUUGUGUAGGAUAGGUGGGAGCCUUUGAAACCCGAUCGCUAGAUUGGGUGGAGGCAACCUUGAAAUACCACCCUGGUAUGUUUGACGUUCUAACCUGGACCCCUUAUCGGGGUUAGGGACAGUGUAUGGUGGGUAGUUUGACUGGGGCGGUCUCCUCCAAAAGAGUAACGGAGGAGUACGAAGGUGCACUCAGCGCGGUCGGACAUCGCGCAAUGAGCAUAAUGGUAGAAGUGCGCUUGACUGCGAGACAGACACGUCGAGCAGGUGCGAAAGCAGGUCAUAGUGAUCCGGUGGUUCUUAGUGGAAGGGCCAUCGCUCAACGGAUAAAAGGUACUCCGGGGAUAACAGGCUGAUACCGCCCAAGAGUUCAUAUCGACGGCGGUGUUUGGCACCUCGAUGUCGGCUCAUCACAUCCUGGGGCUGAAGCAGGUCCCAAGGGUAUGGCUGUUCGCCAUUUAAAGUGGUACGCGAGCUGGGUUUAGAACGUCGUGAGACAGUUCGGUCCCUAUCUGCCGUGGGCGUUGGAAACUUGAGAGGAGCUGCUCCUAGUACGAGAGGACCGGAGUGGACGAACCCCUGGUGUUUGGGUUGUCAUGCCAAUGGCAUUGCCCAGUAGCUACGUUCGGAACUGAUAACCGCUGAAAGCAUCUAAGCGGGAAGCAGGCCUCAAGAUGAAGUUUCCCUAAUCUCUUGAAGAUUCUAAAGGGUCGUUGAAGACUACAACGUUGAUAGGCAGGGUGUGGAAGAGCAGUAAUGCUUGAAGCUAACCUGUACUAAUUGCCCGUGCGGCUUAACCAUAUAACCCCAAGUGACUUGGG